rnacentral:lncRNA from 1 species
CAGUGUCGGCGUGAACAGUAUCGGCGAACAGUGUCGAUGAACAGUAUCGAUAAACAGUACCGAUGAACAGUGUCGAUGAACAGUAUCGAUGAACAGUAUCGGCGAACAGUGUCGAUGAACAGUGUCGGUGUGAACAGUAUUUUGCGAUUUUUAGGGUUAGGGUUGUUAAGAGCAAACUCGUGUUGAUAACGUGUUGUGAAACUUAUUGUU